GAUGAACGCUAGCGGCAGGCUUAAUACAUGCAAGUCGUGGGGCAGCAGGUUUGUAGCAAUACAGAUGCUGGCGACCGGCAAACGGGUGCGGAACACGUACAGAACCUUCCUUUGAGCGGGGAAUAGCCCAGAGAAAUUUGGAUUAAUACCCCAUAGUAUAAUGAAGUGGCAUCACUUUAUUAUUAAAGAUUUAUCACUCGAAGAUGGCUGUGCGGCUGAUUAGGUAGUUGGCGGGGUAACGGCCCACCAAGGCGACGAUCGGUAGGGGGUGUGAGAGCGCGACCAGCCACACUGGAACUGAGACACGGUCCAGACUCCUACGGGAGGCAGCAGUAGGGAAUAUUGGACAAUGGGCGAAAGCCUGAUCCAGCCAUGCCGCGUGAUAGAUGAAGGCCCUCUGGGUUGUAAAUAUCUUUUAUCUGGGAAGAAACUCCUCUAUUCUUAGAGGCCUGACGGUACCAGAGGAAUAAGCACCGGCUAACUCCGUGCCAG
rnacentral:rRNA from 1 species